UACAGAGGUGGCAAGCGUUGUUCGGAAUUACUGGGCGUAAAGGGCGCGUAGGCGGUCCGAUAAGUCCCGUGUGAAAUCCCUCGGCUCAACUGAGGAAUGGCACGGGAAACUGCCGGGCUUGAGUUCGGGAGAGGGAAGCGGAAUUCCGGGUGUAGCGGUGAAAUGCGUAGAUAUCCGGAGGAACACCGGUGGCGAAGGCGGCUUCCUGGACCGACACUGACGCUGAGGCGCGAAAGCUAGGGGAGCAAACGGA
rnacentral:rRNA from 1 species